rnacentral:sRNA from 1 species
GCGAUGAUGACGAUGACCCUACUUCUGCU